rnacentral:rRNA from 1 species
UACGUAGGGUGCGAGCGUUAAUCGGAAUUACUGGGCGUAAAGCGUGCGCAGGCGGUUUCUGAAGUCCGUUGUGAAAGCCCCGGGCUUAACCUGGGAAUGGCAGUGGAAACUAGGCGACUUGAAUCUGGCAGAGGGGGGUGGAAUGCCACGUGUAGCAGUGAAAUGCGUAGAGAUGUGGCGGAACACCGAUGGCGAAGGCAGCCCCCUGGGUCGAGAUUGACGCUCAGGCACGAAAGCGUGGGGAGCAAACAGG